GACGAACGCUGGCGGCGUGCUUAACACAUGCAAGUCGAGCGGUAAGGCCCUUUCGGGGGUACACGAGCGGCGAACGGGUGAGUAACACGUGGGUGACCUGCCCUCAGCUCUGGGAUAAGCCUGGGAAACUGGGUCUAAUACCGGAUAUGACCUCCUAUCGCAUGGUGGGUGGUGGAAAGUUUUUUCGGCUGGGGAUGGGCCCGCGGCCUAUCAGCUUGUUGGUGGGGUGGUGGCCUACCAAGGCGACGACGGGUAGCCGGCCUGAGAGGGCGACCGGCCACACUGGGACUGAGACACGGCCCAGACUCCUACGGGAGGCAGCAGUGGGGAAUAUUGCGCAAUGGGCGAAAACCUGACGCAGCGACGCCGCGUGGGGGAUGACGGCCUUCGGGUUGUAAACCUCUUUCGACCUUGACGAAGGCCUUCGGGUUGACGGUAGGGGUAGAAGAAGCACCGGCCAACUACGUGCCAGCCGCCGCCGUAA
rnacentral:rRNA from 1 species